AGUGAACGCUGGCGGCAGGCUUAACACAUGCAAGUCGAACGGCAGCACAGUAAGAGAUUGUUCGUACGGAAGGCGACUGGUGGACGGGCGAGGAAGACAUCGGAACCUACUUUUUCGGGGGCGAUAAGGGGGGUAAACGUACGCUAAGACCGCAUACGCCGUAUGGGUGAAAACAAGGGAACUGUGCAGCUUGCACGACUGAAGUGGCCGAUGUCGGAUUAGCUAGCUGGUGGGGUAAAGGCGCGGCAAGGCGACGAUCCGUAGCUGCUCUGAAAGGAUGAUCAGCCACACUGGCACUGAGACAGGGUCCAGACUCCUGCGGUAGGCAGCAGUGGGGAAUCUUAGACAAUGGGCGCGAGCCGGAUCCAGCCAUACCGCGUGGGUGAAGAAGGAGUUCGGCUUGUAAAGCCCUGUUGUUGGGAGGUAAAAGCAGCAGGUUCAUCCGCCGAUAUUCUGACGGUACCCGAAGAAUAAGCACCGGCUAACUACGUG
rnacentral:rRNA from 1 species